CGGGAGCGCGCAGAGGACGAGAUUUCGGUCGAGUCGCACGCGCUUUAGUGGCGGACGGGUGAGUAACGCGUGGAUAACCUGCCUUACACAGGGGGAUAACGCUUAGAAAUAGGCGCUAAUACCGCAUAAGCGCACAGCCUCGCAUGAGGGAGUGUGAAAAGCCUCGGCGGUGUAAGAUGGAUCCGCGUCUGAUUAGCCAGUUGGCGGGGUGACGGCCCACCAAAGCGACGAUCAGUAGCCGGCCUGAGAGGGUGGACGGCCACAUUGGGACUGAGACACGGCCCAGACUCCUACGGGAGGCAGCAGUGGGGGAUAUUGCACAAUGGGGGGAACCCUGAUGCAGCGACGCCGCGUGAGUGAAGAAGCGCCUCGGCGCGUAAAGCUCUGUCAGCAGGGAAGAAGGUGACGGUACCUGACCAAGAAGCCCCGGCUAACUACGUGCCAGCAGCCGCGGUAAUACGUAGGGGGCAAGCGUUAUCCGGAUUUACUGGGUGUAAAGGGGGCGCAGACGGCGCGGCAAGUCCGGAGUGAAAUCCCAGGGCCCAACCCUGGGGCUGCUCUGGAAACUGCCGGGCUGGAGUGCUGGAGGGGCAGGCGGAAUUCCUAGUGUAGCGGUGAAAUGCGUAGAUAUUAGGAGGAACACCGGUGGCGAAGGCGGCCUGCUGGACAGCGACUGACGUUGAGGCCCGAAAGCGUGGGGAGCAAACAGGAUUGGAUACCCUGGUAGUCCACGCCGUANACGAUGACUACUA
rnacentral:rRNA from 1 species